rnacentral:sRNA from 1 species
GCUUUGGAUGUGACAUGUGUCGCCCCACUGAUCACCAUGGUUGAUUCAGCUGCCCUUGCGGACUAGGAAGGUGUCCCUUUCCU